rnacentral:rRNA from 1 species
AUUGAACGCUGGCGGCAGGCUUAACACAUGCAAGUCGAGCGGGGGGAGGUAGCUUGCUACCGGACCUAGCGGCGGACGGGUGAGUAAUGCUUAGGAAUCUGCCUAUUAGUGGGGGACAACAUCUCGAAAGGGAUGCUAAUACCGCAUACGUCCUACGGGAGAAAGCAGGGGAUCUUCGGACCUUGCGCUAAUAGAUGAGCCUAAGUCGGAUUAGCUAGUUGGUGGGGUAAAGGCCUACCAAGGCGACGAUCUGUAGCGGGUCUGAGAGGAUGGUCCGCCACACUGGGACUGGGACACGGCCCAGACGCCCACGGGAGGCAGCAGUGGGGAAUAUUGGACAAUGGGGGGAACCCUGAUCCAGCCAUGCCGCGUGUGUGAAGAAGGCCUUAUGGUUGUAAAGCACUUUAAGCGAGGAGGAGGCUACUUUAGUUAAUACCUAGAGAUAGUGGACGUUACUCGCAGAAUAAGCACCGGCUAACUCUGUGCCAGCCGCCGCCGUAA